UACAUGUGGGGCAAGCGUUGUUCGGAAUUACUUGGCAUAAAGGGUGCGUAGGUGGCUUGUUAAGUCAGGGGUGAAAGUUUUCGGCCCAACCGGAAAAUGGCCUUUGAUACUGGCGAGCUCGAGUGCGUGAGGGAUAACCGGAACGAGCAGUGUAGCGGUGAAAUGCGUAGAUAUUGCUCGGAAGGCCAACGGCGAAGGCAGGUUACUGGUGCGCAACUGACACUGAGGCACGAAAGCGUGGGGAGCAAACAGG
rnacentral:rRNA from 1 species